rnacentral:rRNA from 1 species
GUACGUAGGCCACUUGAUGGAUGGCUCGGCUCGGGCACCGAUGAAGACCGUGCCAAGCUGCGAUAUGCUUCGGGGAGGCGCAGGGAGCCCAAGAUCCGAAGAUCGUCGAAUGGGAAUUCCUUUCCCAUAUGGGAAACUCCCGAAAGGGAGGGGGAACCCCGGGAAUCGAAACAUCCUAGUACCGGGUGGAAAAGAAACCAACAGGGAUGCCGUUAGUAAGGGCGACCGAAAGCGGCAGAGGGCAAACCGAAUAGUCUGUCGAAAGACAGGAAAGAUGUGGAGUACGGAGUCAGGCUAAUGCCUAGGAUAGGAAGUCUAAGUUUCUGGAAAGUUACACCUUAGAGGGUGAUAGUCCCGUGGACGUAUCUAUCCAAGCUACAAGCUUGAAUUUCCAGAGUACCGUGCGUCGGUUUUCGCGCGGGAAUACGGGUCUCACUAAGAUCCAACCCUAAAUAUGUCCCGAGUCCGAUAGUAUACUAGUACCGCGAGGGAAAGCUGAAAAGUAGCCCGAAAGGGUGGUGAAAAGGACCUGAAACCAAGUGGCUAUUAACUGGCAAUGCAUGGAAGAGAUGAAGUCUAUGACUGAUCAGUGUGUUGCCGUCCGUGUUGAAGAACGGGCCAGGGAGUUCUAAUCAGCGGCGAGGCUAAUUCUUGAAAAGAAGGAGCCGGAGCGAAAGCAACAUGCCCGCACCGCAAGGGAGGGGCGACGUGAGCUCGCGUGAAGUCGCUGGUGGGAGACCCGAAGCCGGUCGAUCUAAUCCUGGGCAGGUUGAAGCCUAGCGAAAGCUGGGUGGAGGACCGACCCGGUUCUGAUGUGCAAAUCGUUCGGUUGACCUGGGAUUAGGGGUUAAAGGCUAAUCUAGGCCGGUAAUAGCGGGUUCCCCUCGAGACUACCCGCAGGUAGACCUGGGCAGAGGCGUCUGGUGGCGUAGAGAAAUGUAUAGGGCAAGCUAACCCGAAAGGGUUGGCCCUCUUAACAAACUCCGAAUCCGCCAGAGCCGUAGAAGCCUGGUGCUAGGGGAUCGGGAUAAGCUUGAUCCCCGAGAGGAGAAGAAUUCAGACGAAGGUUAAGGUCCCUAAGUUAUGGUUAAGUGUAAACUAAAGGAUGUUCGUGACCCAAGACAAUUGGGAGGUUGGCUUAGAAGCAGCCAUCCUUUAAAGAGUGCGUAAUAGCUCACCCAUCGAGGUCACAGGCUCCGAAGAUGGACGGGACUAAACCAUACACCGAUACCUUCGGACACCGAAAGGUGAUUCGGUAGAGGGGCGUGCUGCCGGGGCAGAAGUAUCUUCGAAAGGAGGUAUGGACCCGACAGUAUCGUGGAUCCUGGUGAAAGUAGCAGCAUAGAGUCGUGAGAAUCGACUCCGCCGAAAGGGCUAAGGGUUCCUCGGCAACGAUCGUCAGCCGAGGGUUAGCCGGUCCUAA